rnacentral:lncRNA from 1 species
UUUUUAUACAUGGAAGGGCCAAGGGCCAUACCAUAGUAAUCCCUACACUCGCCACCUGGUGCAGAGAUCUGUUUAGUACCAGUACUUAUUCUUGAAUAUACCAAUCAAAUUAUUUCACGCAGGCUGCUUCGAUAUUAAUAUAUUAUAUUAUUUUUGCACUUUGCAAAUUGACCAUCUCAAUAUCUUUUUCUUAAUUUUCCCCUAAAAUAAUUCUCUUAAUUCAAGAUUCUAUCAACCCAAUACUUUUCUCUGCUUUGUUUGGCUGCUUGUUUUGUGGGUUUUUGAUUAUAGCACGCAAAAGGCUUCCUUUUUAUGUGGCCGCCUGCAUGCUGUUGAGAUAACACAAGGCUUGUUGGGUUUAUCGACUUCUUCAAUUUCUAUAUGCAUUUUCUUUGAUUGCUGUCCUGAACUCUCUUUUAACUAUAAACAACGCAGAUACUGCGGAUUGAUUGUUAUGUAGGUGAAUUGGGUUUUUGUUUCUUUUUUAUGGGUCUUUGAAUAAGAAAGAUAAUUGUUUUGUACAUUUN